AACGAACGCUGGCGGCAUGCCUAACACAUGCAAGUCGAGCGAGCCCUUCGGGGCGCGUGGCGCACGGGAGUGUAACGCGGGGGAAUGUGCCUCUAUGCGGGGAAUACCUCCCCGACUGGGGUGCUUAUACUAGAUAAUGUCUUCGGACCAAAGAUUUAUCGCAUUAGGAUGGGCCCGCGUUGGAUUAGCUAGUUGGUAGGGUAAAAGCCUACCAAGGCGACGAUCCAUAGCUGGUCUGAGAGGAUGAUCAGCCACACUGGGACUGAGACACGGCCCAGACUCCUACGGGAGGCAGCAGUGGGGAAUAUUGGACAAUGGGGGAAAGCCUGAUCUAGCCAUGCCGCGUGAGUGAUGAAGGCCUUAGGGUUGUAAAGCUCUUUUACCUGGGAAGAUAAUGACGGUACCGGGAGAAUAAGCCCCGGCUAACUCCGUG
rnacentral:rRNA from 1 species